GAUGAACGCUGGCGGCGUGCCUAAUACAUGCAAGUCGAGCGAACGGACGAGAAGCUUGCUUCUCUGAUGUUAGCGGCGGACGGGUGAGUAACACGUGGAUAACCUACCUGUAAGACUGGGAUAACUUCGGGAAACCGGAGCUAAUACCGGAUAAUAUUUUGAACCGCAUGGUUCAAAAGUAAAAGACGGUCUUGCUGUCACUUAUAGAUGGAUCCGCGCUGCAUUAGCUAGUUGGUAAGGUAACGGCUUACCAAGGCAACGAUGCAUAGCCGACCUGAGAGGGUGAUCGGCCACACUGGAACUGAGACACGGUCCAGACUCCUACGGGAGGCAGCAGUAGGGAAUCUUCCGCAAUGGGCGAAAGCCUGACGGAGCAACGCCGCGUGAGUGAUGAAGGUCUUCGGAUCGUAAAACUCUGUUAUUAGGGAAGAACAUAUGUGUAAGUAACUGUGCACAUCUUGACGGUACCUAAUCAGAAAGCCACGGCUAACUACGUG
rnacentral:rRNA from 1 species